rnacentral:lncRNA from 1 species
AUCAAAGCUCUCAGACUGCCAUGACAGUAGAGGUGAGGACUAGAAGACCCAUGCCAUGGUCCUGCUAAGAAGCAGUAAAGGACUUUUUCAGGUGGGAAAAAUAGACAAAAUUAUUCUGCUGAGGACAUCUACUUGGUGCAGUCAACAAUGGCUCUGUUGUAAUUUAGAGAAAGCUGACAUAAGAGCUAGAAGACACU